rnacentral:rRNA from 1 species
GUGAGAUUACAUAUGCAUA